rnacentral:rRNA from 1 species
GAUGAACGCUGGCGGUAGGCCUAACACAUGCAAGUCGUGCGCGAAAGCGGCUUCGGCCGCGUGUAGAGCGGCGAACGGGUGAGUAACACGUGGACAACCUGCCCAAGAGUGGGGGAUAACCUGGGGAAACUCGGGCUAAUACCGCAUACGUUCGUGGGGCUUCGGCCCUGCGCAGAAAGGUGGCCUAUGCUUGCAAGCCACCGCUCCUGGAGGGGUCCGCGUCUGAUUAGCUAGUUGGCGGGGUAAUGGCCCACCAAGGCGACGAUCCGUAGCUGGUCUGAGAGGAUGAUCAGCCACACUGGAACUGAGACACGGUCCAGACUCCUACGGGAGGCAGCAGUGGGGAAUAUUGCGCAAUGGGCGAAAGCCUGACGGAGCAAUGCCGCGUGUAGGAUGAAGCGUCUCUGACGUGUAAACUACUGUCAGGGGUCGGAACCAACGAUUGACCCCAAAGGAAGUGGCGACUAACUCUGUGCCAGCAGCCGCGGUAAAG